UACGAGGGGUCUAAGCGUUGUUCGGAAUCACUGGGCGUAAAGCGGGUGUAGGUGGCUAUGCAAGUUAGAUGUGAAAGCCCCGGGCUCAACCCGGGAAGUGCAUCUAAAACUACGUAGCUUGAGUGCGGGAGAGAAAAGCAGAAUUCCUGGUGUAGUGGUGAAAUACGUAGAUAUCAGGAGGAACUCCGGUGGCGAAGGCGGCUUUUUGGCCCAGCACUGACACUCAGACCCGAAAGCGUGGGUAGCAAACAGG
rnacentral:rRNA from 1 species